UGCAGCAACGCCGCGUGAGGGAUGACGGCCUAUCGGGUUGUAAACCUCUUUUAGUAGGGAAGAAGCGAAAGUGACGGUACCUGCAGAAAAAGCACCGGCUAACUACGUGCCAGCAGCCGCGGUAAUACGUAGGGUGCAAGCGUUGUCCGGAAUUAUUGGGCGUAAAGAGCUCGUAGGCGGUUUGUCGCGUCUGCUGUGAAAUCUGGGGGCUCAACCCCCAGCCUGCAGUGGGUACGGGCAGACUAGAGUGCGGUAGGGGAGAUUGGAAUUCCUGGUGUAGCGGUGGAAUGCGCAGAUAUCAGGAGGAACACCGAUGGCGAAGGCAGAUCUCUGGGCCGUUACUGACGCUGAGGAGCGAAAGCGUGGGGAGCGAACAGGAUUAGAUACCCUGGUAGUCCACGCCGUAAACGUUGGGAACUAGAUGUGGGGGCCAUUCCACGGUCUCCGUGUCGCAGCUAACGCAUUAAGUUCCCCGCCUGGGGAGUACGGCCGCAAGGCUAAAACUCAAAGGAAUUGACGGGGGCCCGCACAAGCGGCGGAGCAUGCGGAUUAAUUCGAUGCAACGCGAAGAACCUUACCAAGGCUUGACAUAUACCGGAAACGGCCAGAGAUGGUCGCCCCGCAGGU
rnacentral:rRNA from 1 species